AUUGAACGCUGGCGGCAUGCCUUACACAUGCAAGUCGAACGGUAACAGGUCUUCUGAUGCUGACGAGUGGCGAACGGGUGAGUAAUACAUCGGAACGUGCCCAGACGUGGGGGAUAACGAGUCGAAAGCUUUGCUAAUACCGCAUACGAGCUAAGGAGGAAAGCAGGGGACCGCAAGGCCUUGCGCGCUUGGAGCGGCCGAUGGCAGAUUAGGUAGUUGGUGGGAUAAAAGCUUACCAAGCCGACGAUCUGUAGCUGGUCUGAGAGGACGACCAGCCACACUGGAACUGAGACACGGCCCAGACUCCUACGGGAGGCAGCAGUGGGGAAUUUUGGACAAUGGGCGAAAGCCUGAUCCAGCAAUGCCGCGUGCAGGAUGAAGGCCUUCGGGUUGUAAACUGCUUUUGUACGGAACGAAAAGGAUCUGGCUAAUACCUGGGGCACAUGACGGUACCGUAAGAAUAAGCACCGGCUAACUACGUG
rnacentral:rRNA from 1 species